rnacentral:rRNA from 1 species
AGAGUUUGAUCAUGGCUCAGGACGAACGCUGGCGGCGUGCUUAACACAUGCAAGUCGAGCGAUGAAACACCUUCGGGUGUGAAUUAGCGGCGAACGGGUGAGGAACACGUGAAGAAUCUGCCUUCAACUCUGGGAUAACUCCGGGAAACCGGGGCUAAUACCGGAUAUGAGCCUCGAUCGCAUGAUUGGGGCUGGAAAGUUUUUCGGUUGAAGAUGACUUCGCGGCCUAUCAGCUUGUUGGUGAGGUAAUGGCUCACCAAGGCGACGACGGGUAGCCGGCCUGAGAGGGCGACCGGCCACACUGGGACUGAGACACGGCCCAGACUCCUACGGGAGGCAGCAGUGGGGAAUAUUGGGCAAUGGAGGAAACUCUGACCCAGCGACGCCGCGUGAGGGAUGAAGGCCUUCGGGUUGUAAACCUCUUUCAGUAGGGAAGAAGCGAAAGUGACGGUACCUACAGAAGAAGCACCGGCUAACUAUGUGCCAGCAGCCGCGGUAAUACAUAGGGUGCAAGCGUUGUCCGGAAUUAUUGGGCGUAAAGAGCUCGUAGGUGGUUCGAUACGUCGGAUGUGAAAAUCAGGGGCUCAACCCCUGACCUGCAUCCGAUACGGUCGAGCUAGAGUUUGGUAGGGGAGACUGGAAUUCCUGGUGUAGCGGUGGAAUGCGCAGAUAUCAGGAGGAACACCGAUGGCGAAGGCAGGUCUCUGGGCCAAUACUGACACUGAGGAGCGAAAGCGUGGGGAGCGAACAGGAUUAGAUACCCUGGUAGUCCACGCCGUAAACGGUGGGCGCUAGUUGUGCGAACCUUCCACGGUUUGUGCGACGCAGCUAACGCAUUAAGCGCCCCGCCUGGGGGAGUACGAUCGCAAGAUUAAAACUC